UACAUGGGGUGCAAACGUUGCUCGGAAUUAUUGGGCGUAAAGCGCACGUAGGUGGUCUGUUAUGUCGGAUGUGAAAGCCCUCGGCUCAACUGAGGAAGUGCAUCCGAAACUGGCAGGCUUGAGUAUGUAAGAGGGUCGCGGAAUUCCCGGUGUAGAGGUGAAAUUCGUAGAUAUCUGGAGGAGCACCGGUGGCGAAGGCGGCGUUCUGGACUGCAACUGACACUGAGAAACGAAAGCCAGGGGAGCAAACAGG
rnacentral:rRNA from 1 species